UAACACGUAAACAACCUGCCUUCAGGAUGGGGACAACAGACGGAAACGACUGCUAAUACCGAAUAAGUUCCAAGGGCCGCAUGACCCAUGGAAGAAAAGGUGGCCUCUACCUGUAAGCUAUCGCCUGAAGAGGGGUUUGCGUCUGAUUAGCUGGUUGGAGGGGUAACGGCCCACCAAGGCGACGAUCAGUAGCCGGUCUGAGAGGAUGAACGGCCACACUGGAACUGAGACACGGUCCAGACUCCUACGGGAGGCAGCAGUGGGGAAUCUUCCGCAAUGGGCGAAAGCCUGACGGAGCAACGCCGCGUGAGUGAUGACGGCCUUCGGGUUGUAAAACUCUGUGAUCCGGGACGAAAAGGCAGAGUGCGAAGAACAAACUGCAUUGACGGUACCGGAAAAGCAAGCCACGGCUAACUACGUGCCAGCAGCCGCGGUAAUACGUAGGUGGCAAGCGUUGUCCGGAAUUAUUGGGCGUAAAGCGCGCGCAGGCGGCUUCCCAAGUCCUUCUUAAAAGUGCGGGGCUUAACCCCGUGAUGGGAAGGAAACUGGGAAGCUGGAGUAUCGGAGAGGAAAGUGGAAUUCCUAGUGUAGCGGUGAAAUGCGUAGAGAUUAGGAAGAACACCGGUGGCGAAGGCGACUUUCUGGACGAAAACUGACGCUGAGGCGCGAAAGCGUGGGGAGCAAACAGGAUUAGAUACCCUGGUAGUCCACGCCGUAAACGAUGGAUACUAGGUGU
rnacentral:rRNA from 1 species